rnacentral:rRNA from 1 species
GACGAACGCUGGCGGCGUGCUUAACACAUGCAAGUCGAACGGAAAGGCCCUGCUUUUGUGGGGUGCUCGAGUGGCGAACGGGUGAGUAACACGUGAGUAACCUGCCCUUGACUUUGGGAUAACUUCAGGAAACUGGGGCUAAUACCGGAUAGGAGCUCCUGCUGCAUGGUGGGGGUUGGAAAGUUUCGGCGGUUGGGGAUGGACUAGCGGCUUAUCAGCUUGUUGGUGGGGUAGUGGCUUACCAAGGCUUUGACGGGUAGCCGGCCUGAGAGGGUGACCGGCCACAUUGGGACUGAGGUACGGCCCAGAGGCCUACGGGAGGCAGCAGUGGGGAAUAGUGCACAAUGGGCGGAGGCCUGAUGCAGCAACGCCGCGUGCGGGAUGACGGCCUUCGGGUUGUAAACCGCUUUCGCCUGUGACGAAGCGUGAGGGACGGUAAUGGGUAAAGAAGCACCGGCUAACUACGU